rnacentral:rRNA from 1 species
AUUGAACGCUGGCGGCAGGCCUAACACAUGCAAGUCGAACGAGUGGCGGACGGGUGAGUAAUGUCUGGGAAACUGCCUGAUGGAGGGGGUUAACUACUGGAAACGAUAGCUAAUAACGCAUACCAUCGGAUGUGCCGAGAUGGGAUUAGCUAGUGGGUGGGGUAAAGGCUCACCUAGGCGACGAUCCCUAGCUGGUCUGAGAGGAUGAACAGCCACACUGGAACUGAGACACGGUCCAGACGCCUACGGGAGGCAGCAGUGGGGAAUAUUGCACAAGGGGCGCAAGCCUGAUGCAGCCAUGCCGCGUGUAUGAAGAAGUUCUUCGGGUUGUAAAGGACUUUCAGUGGGGAGGCGUUACUCGCAGAAGAAGCACCGGCUAACUCCGUGCCAGCAGCCGCGGUAAUAC